AAAGAAUUUUAAUUGUGCUUCAUGUAAAUUUGAUGUUUAAAUGGAUGUAUAAAUAUAGAAUUUAUUAUGCUUCUGGAGAAAAAAAAACAAUCUUCGAAAUACUAAGUAUAUAAUUACGACAUAAUUUGUUCUCGAUUAAACAUCAUAUUAUUUAUGUUAAGACGACUAGGUGACCGUGGCCUUUUAAAGACUACAUGUGUAUUGGUCUCCGUGAGAAAAAGAGUUUUGUAUAAAGAUAUAGGCAAAUACACAAAUUUUAAAGCUAAGACGUAUGGAACUUUUCUUUACUAAGUAAUAGUUUAUUGUUUAAAAAAUCAUAUCUACAUGUACAAUUUUGUAGGAGAUCUGAUGGGUAAUUAGUUAGACAUUCAGACUACAGCCUGGCCUCCAGAACAGGACAAUUUUAAAGGAAAGCCCGUCUAAUUUGUUUUUCGUCUCAAAUAAAAAUUACGUCAAAACCACGUCCAGUGAUAAUGGAACGAUCCCUAAAAUACAUCAUGUAGUUUAUACUUUUAUAUUUACAUUUUUCAGUGUCCUUGCCUGUGAUAACACUACGCAUCGCUUUUGUACUAUACAGUUCAAUAAAUUCAAAUGACGUAU
rnacentral:sRNA from 1 species